rnacentral:rRNA from 1 species
AGGAUGAACGCUGGCGGCGUGCCUCAAACAUGCAAGUCGAGCGAGGCUAUGAAUUACCGCAAGGUAAGGCAUAGCCUAGCGGCGAACGGGUGAGUAACACGUGGGUAACCUACCUGGAAGACAGGGAUAACGAUUCGAAAGGGUCGCUAAUACCUGAUAAUAUCCGUCUGCCGGAUGGCGGAGGGAAGAAAGGGGAAACCCGCUUUCAGAUGGGCCCGCGUCCCAUCAGCUAGUUGGUAAGGUAAAGGCUUACCAAGGCGACGACGGGUAGCCGGUCUGAGAGGAUGUACGGCCACACUGGGACUGAGAUACGGCCCAGACUCCUACGGGAGGCAGCAGUUGGGAAUCUUAGGCAAUGGACGAAAGUCUGACCUAGCGACGCCGCGUGAGGGAAGAAGGCCUUCGGGUUGUAAACCUCUGUCAUGGGGGAAGAAGGAAGUGACGGUACCCCAAGAGGAAGCCCCUGCUAACUACGUG